UACGUAGGUGGCAAGCGUUAUCCGGAAUUAUUGGGCGUAAAGCGCGCGUAGGCGGCUUUGUAAGUUAGAGGUGAAAGCCCAGGGCUUAACCCUGGAAUUGCCUUUAAGACUGCAUCGCUAGAAUCGUGGAGAGGUGAGUGGAAUUCCGAGUGUAGAGGUGAAAUUCGUAGAUAUUCGGAAGAACACCAGUGGCGAAGGCGACUCACUGGACACGUAUUGACGCUGAGGUGCGAAAGCGUGGGGAGCAAACAGG
rnacentral:rRNA from 1 species